rnacentral:rRNA from 1 species
UUAAGGGAUGGACCCGCGUCUGAUUAGCUAGUUGGUGGGGUAGAGGCCUACCAAGGCGACGAUCAGUAGCCGACCUGAGAGGGUGAUCGGCCACAUUGGGACUGAGACACGGCCCAGACUCCUACGGGAGGCAGCAGUGGGGAAUUUUCCGCAAUGGGCGCAAGCCUGACGGAGCAACGCCGCGUGAAUGAAGAAGGUCUUCGGAUCGUAAAGUUCUGUCAUUAGGGAAGAAUGAUCUACGUGUGAAUAAUGCGUAGAAGUGACGGUACCUAAGGAGGAAGCCACGGCUAACUAC